CUUGUAUAUUAUCACAAGCACUUGAAAUUAAGAGUAGCUAUGGUUAAACUUCUUAGCAACAAGACUACCUUUCUUUCACUCUUGUUCUGCUUCCUCAUCCUUGCAGCCUUCGGUAUGUAGCGUAGUUAGUUGUAUAUCUUCGUAUGUAUUUCUCUAGCAGCCAAAUAACACCCCACCCCAGGGCUUGACAUUAUAAUAAUUAAAAUGAAAGUAUUGUUUCUCACAUAGAAAGUACCAAAUUAUAUAUGAUUAUAAACUACACUAUGGGUUUUUGUGUCUAUUGAACCACCCACUGAAAAACUUGAGCUCUUAGAUAGAUUUUUAAUUAGCUUAUACUGUCAAAUGCAUUAUAUAUUUUUUCGCAUUUUUAUUACGGCAUUUAGCUCAACCUAAUCCAAUUUCUUGGCAGAGGCGCAAAUCGGGGAGGCAACAUGCAAAAGGCCAAGCAAAGGAUAUUGGAGAUGUGUCCCUUACCAGUGUAGCUUAUACUGUAAGCAAUACGAAGGAGCUUCCUAUGGUUCUUGUAUCAAGAAACACUGGGGUGGUUAUUAUUGCUAUUGCCACUACCGCCAAUGCUGAACGAGUUUCGUAACUUAUUAUGUAAUCACAUGGUGAUACUGAAACUGUAUAUGUAACAUACACUAAAUAAAAGCUGCCCGUGUGUGAUUCUGAGCAGCAAUUACAGUAAUAUCACCAGUGAACUGUUGCUGAAUUGUUAUAUUACUGCUGUACUGAUAUAUAAUAUAAAAUAAUGUCGUAUCGGUGUAAUUUUGUGCCAUAAUGUAUAAAGAUAUUGUUACGCCUUAUGGGACAUGUUGGAAUUUAUUUAUACAUGUACUGUGAAAUUUUAAAUAAUUUCAAUUUCCGUCUUUGUGUUUGUAAAUA
rnacentral:lncRNA from 1 species